UUCCCUGUGGUGCAAUUGGUUAGCACCUUUGGCUGUUAACUGAAAAGAUGGUGGUUUGAACCCACCCAGGGGCA
rnacentral:tRNA from 1 species